rnacentral:rRNA from 1 species
UACGGGGGGGGCAAGCGUUGUUCGGAAUUACUGGGCGUAAAGGGCUCGUAGGCGGCCAACUAAGUCAGACGUGAAAUCCCUCGGCUUAACCGGGGAACUGCGUCCGAUACUGGAUGGCUUGAAUCCGGGAGAGGGAUGCAGAAUUCCAGGUGUAGCGGUGAAAUGCGUAGAUAUCUGGAGGAAUACCGGUGGCGAAGGCGGCAUCCUGGACCGGCAUUGACGCUGAGGAGCGAAAGCCAGGGGAGCAAACGGG